AAAUCUUAAACCACUGAAGGGCCUGAAUUGUUGCAUCAUUUCUUUCGUUGUCCUUACUGCUCUUUGAGAUUGUAUUCUAAAUUUGGCUGUCACCAUUUCAUCAAGUUUGAGGAGGCGCCAUACCAGCCUAAGGGUUAGACAUGGUCGUGAUAAGGCAAGGUGUUUAAGAGCGGGGUCUUUACAUUCAAGUACAGCGCCAUCUUCCGCCACCCGCCGUGUAUGGUCAUCCUCUCUCAGUCUCUCCUAAUAAUUUUAACAACAAUUAACUUUUACUUCAGUUUUCCCGCCACAUAUUGUUUUCUGAAUUACCAUAACCUGCAAAGUUCACUCCUAACUGCAGCUGGAUAAAAAAAAAAUUGUGUUAUUGUAAUAUUCAUGUUUUUUCAUCGGGACAGUCAGUGUGUGCCUUGGUGUGUGCUGUCCGCGCACACACACAGACCACUGUUUAAACGGGAGCAGGCGAAGGAGGAGGGUGAGCGUGUGUGUGUCUGUGUCAAGUGUUACUGUGGCAUCUCUUGGUGCUAUCUGAAGGCUUUCGGAACACUUUGGCUAUUCAGAACUGGUGGCGGUCAUCUGUCACCCUCCUGGAGAGAGCUUAGCUGUGGUGCAAUCUGAUCUAUGGGUGAGGGACGAGACCUUUCACACCGCAACACACAACACAAUGCUUGCUCUCUCGCUUCAGGAAGACGAGGAGGGCAGUAAGUGGUUGGUGACUGGUGAGUGAGGGAAAUCUGAGGAUGAGCUUCUGUUUGUACAUACACACACACUGUACACACACACACACACACACACACACACACACACACACACACACACACACACACACACACACACACACACACACACACCUUCCCUUUCCGCUUCCUUUCCUCUCUUUUCUCUCCCUUUACAAAUUUAUAUUCUCUCCCUCACCCUCCAAUUCCACCCUCUGUCCCUUCUCUCCCUCUCUUUUCCCCUCUCCCGUCACCCUCCCUGCUCCCCACCCUUGUCUCGACGCCGCGGCGGAACAAGUGAACAUCAAGUAAGUGUAAUCAAAACCGCAACGUGGGG